ACAAGCUGAUGAAAGAGAGUUUUUUUUCUUUAUUUAAUUUAAUUUAUUUUACUGCGCUGGCAAAAUUUUAUUUUCCUACUGCACUUAAAGGCAUCACCCAGUUCAUUGAAUCCCACAUGAGGUGUCACAACCGCAACAGCCAAUCAGGGGCCACUUCACCCCUGCUCAGCCGUCAGCUCUAGCAAUGAGGCCCUGACGGUCUUCUCCUUCCGGUCUUUUUAACUUCAACCGCGAGAGCGAGACACAGCUAUCUACUGCGAGAGCGCUGGAGAGGAGAAAAUUUCCGUGUACAAAUAAGAAAAGGGGAAAAAAAAACGAAUCGCCUUAUCAGCCGUGAGUCUGGAGCAGAGCGACAAGGCGAAUCACGUCGGUUAGCUUGUUACUGCAUCUUGUGAGCUGCGGAAAGCGCCAAAAUCAACACGCUCAGCUUUGAAACCGGAGCAACGGUCAGGUUUUUGGAGUGGACUACAAAUCCUGUGGACUGGACGAGAUCCCGAUGGCGAGCCAAAGGACCUUGGAAGAGAGAUAAACAUUAGAACACUCCCACAUACAUUCACUUCGAACUAUCAGACUUAAACCAGGUGCACCUGCAACAAUUCAUAAGGGCCCCAACGACCAACCCUCAGACAAUUCUUUCCUGUGUGCACACAUUUUUUAUUUUUUCCUUUUCUCCGGGGGGGGUUAUUAAAUUGUAUGUUUUACUUGUUGGCCUGUAGGCCUAGUUCUGUAAACAAUACAUGAGUCACUACUCAACAGUUAACCCUGCAUCAGCCAUUAUUG